AGUGAACGCUGGCGGUAGGCCUAACACAUGCAAGUCGAACGGCAGCACAGUAAGAGCUUGCUCUUACGGGUGGCGAGUGGCGGACGGGUGAGGAAUACAUCGGAAUCUACUUUUUCGUGGGGGAUCACGUAGGGAAACUUACGCUAAUACCGCAUACGACCUACGGGUGAAAGCAGUGGAUCUUCGGACCUUGCGCGAUUGAAUGAGCCGAUGUCGGAUUAGCUAGUUGGCGGGGUAAAGGCCCACCAAGGCGACGAUCCGUAGCUGGUCUGAGAGGAUGAUCAGCCACACUGGAACUGAGACACGGUCCAGACUCCUAAGGGAGGCAGCAGUGGGGAAUAUUGGACAAUGGGCGCAAGCAUGAUCCAGCCAUACCGCGUGGGUGAAGAAGGCCUUCGGGUUGUAAAGCCCUUUUGUUGGGAAAGAAAAGCAGCAGGUUAAUACCCCGCUGUUCUGACGGUACCCAAAGAAUAAGCACCGGCUAACUUCGUG
rnacentral:rRNA from 1 species